AACGAACGCUGGCGGUAUGCCUAACACAUGCAAGUCGAACGACAGCACCGUGAGAGCUUGCGCUUACGGGUGUCGCGUGGCGGACGGUGCCGUUAUGCAUCGAAUUCUACUCUUUCGUGGGGGCUAACGUCGGGAAACUUACUCUAAUACAACAUACAUCGUACGUGUGUAAGCACGCGAUCUUCUGACCUUGUGCGAUUGUAUAAGCCUAUGACGGCUUAGCUCGUUGGCGGGUUAAAGGCCCACAACGGCGACGAUCCGUAGCGGGUCUGAGAGGAUGAACAGCCACACUGGAAGAGAGACACGGCCCAGACUCCUACGGGAGGCAGCAGCGGGGAAUAUUGGACAAUGGGGGAGAGCCUGAUCCAGCAAUACCGCGUGAGUGAAGAAGGACUUCUGGUGGUAAAGUGCUGUUGUUGGGAAAGAAAAGCAGCAGGUUUAUACGCCGCGGUACUGACGGUACCGAAAGAAUAAGCACCGGCUAACUUCGUG
rnacentral:rRNA from 1 species